rnacentral:rRNA from 1 species
GAUGAACGCUGGCGGCGUGCCUAAUACAUGCAAGUCGAACGCAUAGCGAAAGGUGCUUGCACCUUUCAAGUGAGUGGCGAACGGGUGAGUAACACGUGGACAACCUGCCUCAAGGCUGGGGAUAACAUUUGGAAACAGAUGCUAAUACCGAAUAAAACUUAGUGUCGCGUGACACAAAGUUAAAAGGCGCUUCGGCGUCACCUAGAGAUGGAUCCGCGGUGCAUUAGUUAGUUGGUGGGGUAAAGGCCUACCAAGACAAUGAUGCAUAGCCGAGUUGAGAGACUGAUCGGCCACAUUGGGACUGAGACACGGCCCAAACUCCUACGGGAGGCUGCAGUAGGGAAUCUUCCACAAUGGGCGAAAGCCUGAUGGAGCAACGCCGCGUGUGUGAUGAAGGCUUUCGGGUCGUAAAGCACUGUUGUAUGGGAAGAACAGCUAGAAUAGGAAAUGAUUUUAGUUUGACGGUACCAUACCAGAAAGGGACGGCUAAAUACGUG